AAAGAUUUUAGAGACAAAUCUUGAAAAGUGGUUUAUUUUUGUCUAACUUAGUGGAAAAUUUUGAAUUAAAGGGAUUUGGCCAGUUGUCUCUCUUGGGGGGAGAUGGUCUUUUACCCAUCUAUAUAAAGACAGAUAUUACACACACAGAAGGGACCAGAGUAAGGAGAAAGCUAAGAAAGAAAGAAAAUAUUUUUACUUGAUAGAAAAAUCUCAACCGAAAAAAAAGGAGGGAGGUUCUUGCAUACUUUAACACCACUUCUAGUAUUUAGCAUUGGGUUUUCAGAUUCCUAUUUACUUGUUCCUCUAACCAAAGUACCCAGUUUAGCAGGAUUGGAACUUCAAAGUUUGAGACGAGAAGAAUUCGCUUGGGUCGGAGAAGCUACUACAUUUUACAUCUUUGUCUAUUCAUAUUAUUUUUAUUUAUUUAUUUACUUUUGUCUAAAAAUGUAAUAGUUUGUAAAUAUUACAUAAUGAAAUUACUUGGGGAACUAUUUAAGAGGGGGAGGGUUUAUGUGC